GCCCUGCUCCCUGGCCUUCAGUCUUAGAGCCCUGGAAGAGCUGGCCUCCCCUCCCCACUCUCUGGGCCAAGGUGGCCAGGCCCAGGGCCUGACUCAGCAGGUGGAGGGAAUCUCCCUGCUGAGAACAGAGGUCCCCUCCCGAGAGAGAAGCUGAGUGUCCAGCUCCUGCGUGGCCUGUCCUGACCGGACAUCCGUCCAUUCGCUGCGCAUGGGGGAGUCAGGGAGCCCGUCCCUCACUGGCGGGGGCUGCACAACGGGCUCGCUCUCAGACUAAACCCAUCCAUCGCAGACUUAAGCGUUUCUCUGCCCUCCAGUAAAAAAGCAGGCCUCUUUGCUUUGUUUGACUGAAUACAUGCUUGUCAAGGGCUUUUCUCUGUUUAGAAUCCAUUUGUUAGAGCCCCUACUUAGGGAGGCUCAUAAAGCUUGGUCAUUAACAGCCACAUUCUCUGUGUCUGGAAUUCUAAUGGGGUUGAGGACGUUCCAUUACGUGCACACUCUGGGGCCGCGGAUGGAGAUGGGCUCCCUCCCCGCCUCUGGUGGGUCCCAGCCUCCACGCUCUCUGAGGCCUGGUGGGGAUGGGGAGGCAGCAAGUCCCAGGCUGCGUGUCCCCAGUUUUCAGAGCAUGCCCCCCUCCCACAUUUGGCCGCUGCAGGGUGGUGACUGGCACUCCCACCCUCUCCUUCAGACACUUCGGCAUGUGCGGCCGACCGGUCUCCUCUGUGUGGCAUGUCAGCUGCCUCUCCAGUGCCAAGUCCCAGCGUGACGGCCUUCAGGUCUUUCCCCACUCAGCCAUCCCUAGGACCUUGGGGUCCCCACAUGUCUCCUGGGCCAGGAUGCCCUUUACAGUCACCCACGCCGUCUUUGGCCCCCUCUGGAGGUUCCCCCAACCUGUCCUCGUCGUUGCCUGGAGCCUUUACUGGAUGUCCACGGCUCAGCCCAGCAGAGGCUGGUGCACCUGCAGGGAGACUUGGACGCCCAGCUUUCAGGAUCCCAAGGACAUCCCCUCCCUCCACCCAGCAGCGAGGCCGAGCGGCGUGAUGGCCUGUGGAUAACCCACCCAGGAACCUGGCAAAGAGGAGGGCACUCGAGGAGCCAGUGUGAGACAGGGUGGGUGUGCGUGGGGCUGACUGAAGCCACCGGGAGCACAGGGUGUGUGGGACGGUGGUGGCUGUUGGGGCAGGAAGGAGAGCAUCGGGGGUGGAGGGGGAGCGGUCUCCACCUUCCGAGAGCGUGGCCCCCCAUCGACUCUAGGACAAGGAAGCCUGGGGUCAAGCUGGGGCUCCGGUUAAAUACAACCAGGGUGGCCACUCUGACGUCCCCUUCACUGGGGGGUCCCCGGGAGUCACACGGUACUGCUGCCUAUCAUGACAAGAACGAAGGCAUCAUUCCCUGGCUUCUCAUAAAAUGUCUACACUCUCAUUGAAAAAUGACUUCACCAUCUCUGGCUUUAAUCCACACUACCAGGUUCUUUUUUUUUUUUUUUUUUUAAAGAUUUUAUUUAUUCAUGAGAGACACAGAGAGAGAGAGAGGCAGAGACACAGACAGAGGGAGAAGCAGACUCCAUGCAGGGAGCCCAAUGCAGGACUCGAUCUCAGAUCCCAGGAUCACGCCCUGAGGGAAGGUAGGAGCCCAACUGCUGAGCCACCCAGGCGUCCCCAACACCACCAGGUUCUUUCUGGUUUUCCCUCUCUUCUCCAACACUGAGGACCGGGCCUGGUUAUCCCUAACAUACGUGUCCCUGUGAUGGUCCCAGAUGUCCUAUUGCUGUCAAUCGGCCCGUGCCCAGAUGCCGACACUCCACUCCCCCACUGCCCCAUGGACAUGGCCCUCACCCGAAUGGCUUUAGCGUCUAAGCCCGCUGUCCGCCCCCUCGCCUCCAAGGUGGACCCCCUCCUGGCCCCACUGGGGCUCCAGCACCCAUCGGACGUGCCCCUUUCCUCUGCUUCGCAUCUGUGCUCAUCCACUGUCAAGGCCAGUAGAAUGCUUAUGCAAGACUCAACACACAGCGCCAUACCUGAGCAGAGUCCAAGAGUGGAUUUACUCUGCACACCA
rnacentral:lncRNA from 12 species